UACGUAGGGUGCUAGCGUUGUCCGGAUUUAUUGGGCGUAAAGAGCGCGUAGGCGGCUUGGUAAGCCGGAUGUGAAACCCCCAAGCUCAACUUGGGGCGGCCAUUCGGAACUGCCAUGGCUAGAGUCUGGUAGGGGAACACGGAAGUUCCUGGUGUAGCGGUGAAAUGCGCAGAUAUCAGGAAGAACACCCGUGGCUAAGGCGGCUCUCUAGUACGGUACUGACGCUGAGACGCGAAAGCGUGGGGAGCGAACAGG
rnacentral:rRNA from 1 species